rnacentral:rRNA from 1 species
AGAGUUUGAUCCUGGCUCAGGAUGAACGCUAGCGGCAGGCCUAACACAUGCAAGUCGAGGGGUAACAGGAAGUAGCUUGCUACUUUGCUGACGACCGGCGCACGGGUGAGUAACGCGUAUACAAUCUACCUUAUACUAGGGGAUAUAGCCUUUAGAAAUGAAGAUUAAUACCCUAUAGUCUAUUAAUAUGGCCUCAUAUAAAUAGUAAAGGUUACGGUAUAAGAUGAGUAUGCGUCCUAUUAGUUUGUUGGUAAGGUAACGGCUUACCAAGACAGCGAUAGGUAGGGGCCCUGAGAGGGGGAUCCCCCACACUGGUACUGAGACACGGACCAGACUCCUACGGGAGGCAGCAGUGAGGAAUAUUGGACAAUGGGCGCAAGCCUGAUCCAGCCAUGCCGCGUGCAGGAAGACGGCCCUAUGGGUUGUAAACUGCUUUUAUACAGGAAGAAACACUCCCUCGUGAGGGAGCUUGACGGUACUGUAAGAAUAAGGACCGGCUAACUCCGUGCCAGCAGCCGCGGUAAUACGGAGGGUCCGAGCGUUAUCCGGAAUCAUUGGGUUUAAAGGGUCCGUAGGUGGAUAAUUAAGUCAGAGGUGAAAUCCUGCAGCUCAACUGUAGAAUUGCCUUUGAAACUGGUUAUCUUGAGUUAUUAUGAAGUAGUUAGAAUAUGUAGUGUAGCGGUGAAAUGCAUAGAUAUUACAUAGAAUACCAAUUGCGAAGGCAGAUUACUAAUAAUAUACUGACACUGAUGGACGAAAGCGUGGGGAGCGAACAGGAUUAGAUACCCUGGUAGUCCACGCCGUAAACGAUGGAUACUAGCUGUUCGAACUUCGGUUUGAGUGGCUAAGCGAAAGUGAUAAGUAUCCCACCUGGGGAGUACGUUCGCAAGAAUGAAACUCAAAGGAAUUGACGGGGGCCCGCACAAGCGGUGGAGCAUGUGGUUUAAUUCGAUGAUACGCGAGGAACCUUACCAGGGCCUAAAUGUAGAUUGACAGGUUUAGAGAUAGACUUUUCUUCGGACAAUUUACAAGGUGCUGCAUGGUUGUCGUCAGCUCGUGCCGUGAGGUGUCAGGUUAAGUCCUAUAACGAGCGCAACCCCUGUUGUUAGUUGCCAGCGAGUCAUGUCGGGAACUCUAACAAGACUGCCAGUGCAAACUGUGAGGAAGGUGGGGAUGACGUCAAAUCAUCACGGCCCUUACGUCCUGAGCUACACACGUGCUACAAUGGUAGGGACAGAGAGCAGCCACUUCGCGACCAGGAGCG